UUUAAGUUAUUUUUAAGUAUUAGUAGUGGGCAAUUUAGUUGUAAAUUUAGGGGGUUAUUUUAAGUAUCGUUUAUAAUGGCAUAAAUGUAUAAUUUUGAUGAAUAAUAGGGGUUACUUUAAUUUAUUUUAUAUAAUAGCAUAGGUGGGGAAUUUAGAUAUAGAUUUAGAGGGUUACUUUAUGCUAUUUUCAUAAUGGUAUAGGUGGGUAAUUUUUUAGAUUACAUAAUAGAUACAAUGGCUAGGAUUAUUUGAGUCUACCAAUUGAUGGGUAGAUAUUUUGUUUUUUAAAAAUUUGUAGGAUUUCUCUAUUUUUAUAGAGUGUCCAUCUAAGAUCCUAUGUGGCUUCACAUGAAGUAUUCAAAAGGAGACUCCAAUUAGUAAUAAUAAGUAAGAUUACCAACAACAAUUAGGUCUAAGCAUCAUGAUUUAUAAAUAUAUUUUUGGUGCUAGAAAACUAUUUCCACCAGGAGCCGCGAGUGCCUUAUUUAUUGAUCUAAUAAAUACAAUAGUAUCUUCCCACAUCUAACUUAUUUCUUUCGCAUCCCUCUUGUAUAUGAAAAGUUUUGACACCUCCAGACCUGGAUUCCAUAUCUCAUAUUUGAUAAAAAAAUACUCUAAAAAUAAAUAUGUGAAUGUCCAAUGUUAGCCCAAGCUGUAUUUAUAGACUGAAAUAAAUAUUUGCGUAUCCUCAUCUGGCUACUUCGCAUGGUGCAGGCGUCCGAAUGAACCAUUUAUCUCCGAGACAGAAAUCCAACCACCCAAAUUCUCUCUCUGUAUAUGUACCUUCUCCGAUCCAACCGUGUCCACUUGCCACUGACGUUUCGACAUCACCGUCGCCAUGGAAAUGAAGCUCACAACCGGUCUUGCCAUCAUCACUGCACUACUCAUGCACCACCUCUCGAUCUCGCCCGCCACCGCCGACCAC
rnacentral:lncRNA from 1 species